rnacentral:rRNA from 1 species
AUUGCCUACGGGGGGCAGCAGUGGGGAAUAUUGCACAAUGGGGGAAACCCUGAUGCAGCAACGCCGCGUGAGUGAAGAAGUAUUUCGGUAUGUAAAGCUCUAUCGGCAGGGAAGAAAAUGACAGUACCUGACUAAGAAGCCCCGGCUAACUACGUGCCAGCAGCCGCGGUAAUACGUAGGGGGCAAGCGUUAUCCGGAUUUACUGGGUGUAAAGGGAGCGUAGACGGCUGCGCAAGUCA